rnacentral:rRNA from 1 species
ACUGCUCAGUAACACGUGGAUAACCUGCCCUAAGGAAGGGGAUAACCUCGGGAAACUGAGGAUAAUACCCUAUAGGUUACAGACGCUGGAAUGCCCUGUAACCGAAAGUUCCGGCGCCUUAGGAUGGAUCUGCGGCCGAUUAGGUUGUUGUUGGGGUAACGGCCCAACAAGCCGAUAAUCGGUACGGGUUGUGGGAGCAAGAGCCCGGAGUUGGAUUCUGAGACAUGAAUCCAGGCCCUACGGGGCGCAGCAGGCGCGAAAACUUUACAAUGCGGGAAACCGUGAUAAGGGAACCCCGAGUGCCUGUAUAUGCAGGCUGUCCAGGUGUCUAAAAAACACCUGAAGAAAGGGUCGGGCAAGACCGGUGCCAGCCGCCGCGGUAAUACCGGCGGCUCGAGUGGUGGCCACUUUUAUUGGGCUUAAAGCGUUCGUAGCUGGGUUGUUAAGUCUCUUGGGAAAUCUGACGGCUCAACCGUCAGGCGUCCAAGGGAUACUGGCAAUCUUGGAACCGGGAGAGGUGAGGGGUACUUCGGGGGUAGGAGUGAAAUCCUGUAAUCCUCGAGGGACCACCUGUGGCGAAGGCGCCUCACCAGAACGGCUUCGACAGUGAGGGACGAAAGCUGGGGAGCAAACCGGAUUAGAUACCCGGGUAGUCCCAGCCGUAAACGAUGCGCGUUAGGUGUAUCGGUGACCACGAGUCACCGAGGUGCCGAAGGGAAACCGUGAAACGUGCCGCCUGGGAAGUACGGUCGCAAGGCUGAAACUUAAAGGAAUUGGCGGGGGAGCAC